GACCCGUCUUGAAACACGGACCAAGGAGUCUAGCAUAUAUGCGAGUGUGCUGGUUUUAAACCGAUACGCGAAACGUAGGUGAAAUGUACCAAGCGCAAGUGCAGUACAGGCCGACAGCGGGCUAUAGCCCGGGGAUUGAGCAAGAGCAUAUCUGUUAGGACCCGAAAGAUGGUGAACUAUGCCUGUGUAGAGAGAAGUCAGGGGAAACCCUGAUGGAGGCUCGUAGCGAUACUGACGUGCAAAUCGUUCGUCGAACAUGGGUAUAGGGGCGAAAGACCAAUCGAACUAUCUAGUAGCUGGUUCCUUCCGA
rnacentral:rRNA from 1 species